GGUACAUUGAAAUACGACAGCAGGAAACUGGAAUUGUACCCCACAAUUUUCACAAGAUGAAUACUUUCCCCAGUGGCCCCAGUGGCAACACCAAGAGGUCUGAAAGCAGCAGCUAGAACAGAUGACCUGGUUUGGGGGUAGAAGACGGGCAGCAACAGAUUGACAGGAUUGCCGGGGCAGCUAAAAUAUCUGCAGCAUGAAAAAGAGCAACAUGGAUGAUCUGGGGGAGUUUCGGGAUACAGAGAGGCCUGAAUCAUGCUGGAGGCAGAGAUGGACCAGAGCCAAGACGGUAGAGGAAGCGUGAGGUGUGUCUGCGAGACUUUGUAAUUUAAUCUCUGGAUAAGAAUUUAAAGUGGGAGUGCUGGGCAGUCGAGGCUGACUGAUCAUGACAAAACAUUCAUAUCCAUCAGGUCAAUUUAAGCAGUGUUCAAAGAUUGUAAAA